rnacentral:rRNA from 1 species
ACGGGUGAGUAACGCGUGGGAAUCUACCCAUCCCUACGGGAUAACACAGAGAAAUUUGUGCUAAUACCGUAUACGUCCUUCGGGAGAAAGAUUUAUCGGGGAUGGAUGAGCCCGCGUCGGAUUAGCUAGUUGGUGGGGUAAUGGCCUACCAAGGCGACGAUCCGUAGCUGGUCUGAGAGGAUGACCAGCCACAUUGGGACUGAGACACGGCCCAAACUCCUACGGGAGGCAGCAGUGGGGAAUAUUGGACAAUGGGCGCAAGCCUGAUCCAGCCAUGCCGCGUGAGUGAUGACGGCCUUAGGGUUGUAAAGCUCUUUCACCCACGACGAUAAUGACGGUAGUGGGAGAAGAAGCCCCGGCUAACUUCGUGCCAGCAGCCGCGGUAAUACGAAGGGGGCUAGCGUUGUUCGGAAUUACUGGGCGUAAAGCGUACGUAGGCGGACCGUUAAGUCAGAGGUGAAAUCCCGGAGCUCAACUUCGGAAUUGCCUUUGAUACUGGCGGUCUUGAGUUCGGGAGAGGUGAGUGGAACUGCUAGUGUAGAGGUGAAAUUCGUAGA